rnacentral:sRNA from 1 species
UGUCAGUGUAAUACUGCUCCUGGCUAUGC